AUUGAACGCUGGCGGCAGGCCUAACACAUGCAAGUCGAACGGUAGCACAGAGAGCUUGCUCUCGGGUGACGAGUGGCGGACGGGUGAGUAAUGUCUGGGAAACUGCCCGAUGGAGGGGGAUAACUACUGGAAACGGUAGCUAAUACCGCAUAACGUCGCAAGACCAAAGUGGGGGACCUUCGGGCCUCACACCAUCGGAUGUGCCCAGAUGGGAUUAGCUAGUAGGUGGGGUAAUGGCUCACCCCGGCGACGAUCCCUAGCUGGUCUGAGAGGAUGGCCAGCAACACGGGAACUGGGACCCGGUCCAGACUCCGACGGGAGGCAGCAGCGGGGAAUAUUGCACAAUGGGCGCAAGCCUGAUGCAGCCAUGCCGCGUGUAUGAAGAAGGCCUUCGGGUUGUAAAGUACUUUCAGCGGGGAGGAAGGCGGUGGAGUUAAUAACUUCACCGAUUGACGUUACCCGCAGAAGAAGCACCGGCUAACUCCGUGCCAGCCGCCGCGGUAAUAC
rnacentral:rRNA from 1 species